UUAAUGAGAGUUUGAUCCUGGCUCAGGACGAACGCUGGCGGCGUGCCUAAUACAUGCAAGUAGAACGCUGAAGAGAGGAGCUUGCUCUUCUUGGAUGAGUUGCGAACGGGUGAGUAACGCGUAGGUAACCUGCCUUGUAGCGGGGGAUAACUAUUGGAAACGAUAGCUAAUACCGCAUAACAAUGGAUGACACAUGUCAUUUAUUUGAAAGGGGCAAUUGCUCCACUACAAGAUGGACCUGCGUUGUAUUAGCUAGUAGGUGAGGUAAUGGCUCACCUAGGCGACGAUACAUAGCCGACCUGAGAGG
rnacentral:rRNA from 1 species